AUCUAGUUAAAAGUUAUUUCUGAGGUCAUGUAUCUACCAGUUAGUGUAUUAUUACCGUCGCACGAGGCGGCUUAAAGGCUUUUUAAAUUCAAUUUUUAACCGCGUUGGUUUUGACUUUUUACUAUCCUGAACUUCAAGUGCAAAAUUUCUGAUCAGUGAUCAUUACUCUGGUUCGACCUUAUAAGGUAUUAUCCUAUACUAUGUAUUCUACAGCUUAUAUCGAUUGUAUACAUGUAAAUGGAGUGGUA
rnacentral:lncRNA from 1 species